AACCACCUCUUUUUCCAGGGCUGCAUCUCCACAAUGCUUAUGCCCACAAGCUGGCAUCAGCAGAUCCCAGAAUUCUGUGGCUCCUGGCACUCGUGACUGUGCGGAGUGUGCAGGCACUGGCAUUGCCACUGAGGCAGGAGUAGGCACAAAAUUUCUGGAUGCUCGGAAACAUUUCUAGCAACUUACUUUCACUGGCUGAAUAGUCCUGUGGGUCGAGUAUCCCUGAUUCCUGCAGCGAUCUAAUACAGGAGUCCACCAGCUCCAGACCAGUGGUGAGUUCAUCUUCUAUAUCCUUCUGACCAUCUGUAAUGACAUUAACAACAUAAAAACAUAAAAGAAGGGCAAAAAGGUAAAGCCAUUUACAAGACAAAAGCUAAAACCAAUUGUAUGUGACUAAGCAAUCACAGCUGACGUGGCCAUACUGAAAAUUGUGCCAUCCUUUGAAAGUGUGGCCGUGGAUUAAUAAAAGCCAAAUGAGACUAUUUAGGUCUAGUAGUAAAAAAAGCCAGAGACAGAUUUAGCAAUGCCCCUUCUCAAAACUCUACAUUAGUUUCAGUGUACUUUUUGUCAACCCUAACAACUUUUGCCAAAUCUUGUCACUUUUUAAGUACAGUUUUCACACACUAGCAAUGAGAAAAAACACACAAAAACCUCCUCGAUGUGCUUGUCCCUUCCAUCUUCUUUAGGUAAAAAUGAUCUUUCUGGGAGAGAAUGUAAUACAUAUAUAUAGAUAGGUAUAUUACCUUGUGUUUGCCAGUGAAACUGCUCUUCUGUUGAACUGGAAAGAGAAAGAAAAAAGUAAUUAUUUUUAAUCAAACUGGUUUGUACUGUGCCAUGAAUAUUCAGAUAUAAAUCUAUUCUGAAUGAACUGAUUUAAGAGAAGAACACACUUAAGAAUAAAACCUUAUUUAGACUACAUAAUUUUAUAUAUAUUUUAAAUAAUUACUUAAUUACUUAAAUUAAUUACAACAUUCAUCCAGCUGGAGGGUAGCAUCUUUAUUUCUUCCUCAAGCAAUCUGAAUCAUACACACAGAAAUUGGCCUCUUGGUCUUGAUAUACAAACUACACUAUUUCAAAGCAAAAACAUUAGCGUUCUUCAACUUUUUGGAUCCUUCCAUUUGUCUGACUCUCCAUGUUUAUCAAGAAAACUAUGAAUUGCUUUCUCAAGUGAAUAGUUACAUGUGACUUCUGAAUGAAAUUACGAAUAUGAGUCCUGGUUCUACUGAUCAUCAUGUGCAUUUUUAUAUUAUUCAAAUGUGCAGCUAAGUUAAUUCAAUUGGCCUACACAGGAGAGAAAAUUUAGAUGUGUUUGUGCUUCUAUGUGCAAGCACUCAAGCAACAGAAGAUCUUAAUUUUAAAAUAAUGAGCAUGCACACUAGAGGAUGGGUUAGGUAGGGUUUGUUUUUUUUUUUCCCAAUGAAAUGAAAGAUUCAUUCAAUUGAAUGAUAAAAUAAAUUGUAUAUUCAAUUAGGCAAUGUCUACACUUUACUCCAAGGCAUGCUCUGUUUAUGCUUCAAUAUACGUCUUUCCCACAUGACAAGGAUAUAAAAAGGAUUGAAGUUACUCAGUUCUACCUAUUCUUUUGAUAACAGUGAACUGAUUAUUACACCCAUGACUGAAAGAUUUUUCUGUACAUUUUUAUAAGAUACUUAUAGGAGAGAACAACAUUAUCUGUUGCAUCCAUAAGUUAAAAAAAACCCCCAAAAACAACAAAGACUGAAAACUUUUCCAACAAUUAUACUUUUUUUUCAUUUGUUUUCUGAUGUUGAGACUAAAUGUUCUUUUGGAUGAGUAAAAGGAUUUAAAUCUCUAAUUAUUUUCCCUUUUCCCAACAGAUCCUCCAUCACUUAUGAAUAUAUCAGCAUACCUCCUACUAGCUAUGUUCUGAACAACAGUAAUGUAAAUGAAAUUAAGUAUUUCCUAGUGGAUGUUUAUUUUUACAGUAAAGAACUUGUGUAAAUUAUUUACCCGAUUUGAAAGUGUUUAAAAAAGAAUUAUUGUCUAAUUUACAUAAAAACAGUUCUAAAAAGACUUUUAAUUUCCACCUGGCAUCAUAAAUGUUAACCUGGAAAGUUCAAAUGCAUACAUCAUCAUAAAUUUCCUAAUGUCUACAACCUAUGGUUUAUAUUGACUCACUGUAAUGAGAUGUUAUAGAUUAAGAAGCCAGUCCUUUGAUGAGAUAGUGAACUAAAACUCUCACAUUCAAGUCCACUGAAAUUAACAAUAUUGAAGAUAAGUGUUGCCAGAGUCCUCAAACAAUAAUAAUUGCAAAGUGCUGAACUGGAUGAAAUUUAAAUUACCUUUUGAAAUGAAGUCUUAGUAGUGACUAGGGAUAGUGACUCUUUUUUGAAAUAACACUUUUUCCAAUUUUACAUUCCUUUUUUUUUGAUUUUCAGAUUUACUAAAUAACUGCAGCUUCAUCUGAAACACUGGGACGCGAGAGCAAUCUUCCUUUCUGUAAUUAGCAGAAUCCAUAAUAACUAAUAUACUACUUUCCACUCUAGAGUCCUUCUUCCAGUAUCCAGAUUUCUUUGAGAUAGAUAUCACCUCACCAGCCAGAAAAAAUAUAGUAUCUCAGGUGACAUUCUUGCUGGCAGAAUGAAUUACUAGACAUUGCUGGCAAGGACACAAUGAUGUGAAAGCCUAUGCCACCUCAUCCAAAUAAGUCAGAAAAGAAAAUCAAGUCAUGAUUAAAGAGUGAAUUGCCACUUACAGGAAUUCAAGCCUAGCCCUUUUUAAGUAGCAAACUUGUACAAAAUGUAACAAAGGUCAUUAUGUUCAAUGAAUCACUUGUGGCUGAUUCGCAGUAAUCCCCAAUAUCACUUAUCUGACUUCCACAGAAACACUGUACAGUAUACAUAUAAAUUUCAGGAUCACAAUGAAUUUUCACUAGAUUCCGACUUUUCCAAUUUUAGUCAUGUUUCUCCUCACCAGUACAGUAAUAGUCUUUCAAUAAAUAAUGUUGCUUUAGAGUAAUGAUGGCAGAUCCACCAUCAGAAUUUUUAUCCUAAUGCUACCUUCUUAUUCAACAUUUGGAACAUGAACCAGGCUUAGCAGGGCAGUGGUGAGUCCCCAUCCCUGAAGGUAUUUUAAAACAUGCGUAGGUGUGACACAUGGGGACGUGGUUUAGUAGUGGACUUGGCAGUGCUGGAUUAAUGCUUGGCCUCAAUGGUCACAAAAGGUUUUUUCUGACAUAAAAGAUAUUAUGAUUCUCUAUUAAAGUUUUAUUUGUUCCUACAAAGAAAUCGGUAUAUGCUGAUAUAGAAAGAGUGCUGUUUUCUUUAGUUAAAUUCAUGUUCUUUAGCUUUUUAACAAUCCAGUAUAGCUGGAUAUUGAAGCUGCCAUUUCUUGGGUGCAAUCCAAUGCCAGAGCCUUGAAAACAAACAUUUAAAGGGUUUCACUAGAAAACUUUAUCAGAAUUUGCCAUAGUUUUAAUCUAAAUACUCUUUAUUUUUCCUUUUCCCCCUUUUUUAACUGAUCUUCCCCUGUUUUUGGUCUGAAAAAGAUUCCUGACUAAAGCAACCUGACUUGUUUGUGCAGGAAACUUUUAGGCUGUCACACGACUGCUUGAGUCGUGUGAUUUGUCACACAAAUCUGCUUGAGUGAAUAAGAGGGCACACUUUUCUGUCUUUUUCUUUCAGGUGUUUCCCAGCUGCAAGAGAUCAGUGCAACUGACUGUAUAGUUACAUCAAAUAAAUGAAAAGACAAAAAAACAGUAUUUAACAGAAGUAUUGUCUUAAUAAAAUUUUCAGCAUGUUCAGCAAAA